UACGUAGGGGGCUAGCGUUGUCCGGAAUUAUUGGGCGUAAAGCGCGUGUAGGCGGUCCGGUAAGUCCGCUGUGAAAGUCGGGGGCUCAACCCUCGGAUGCCGGUGGAUACUGUCGGGCUUGAGUACGGAAGAGGCGAGUGGAAUUCCUGGUGUAGCGGUGAAAUGCGCAGAUAUCAGGAGGAACACCAAUUGCGAAGGCAGCUCGCUGGGACGUUACUGACGCUGAGACGCGAAAGCGUGGGGAGCAAACAGG
rnacentral:rRNA from 1 species